AGGCGAACCGCGAAUGGCUCAUUAAUCAGUUAUGGUUCACUAGAUCGUACAGUUUACAUGGAUAACUGUGGUAAUUCUAGAGCUAAUACAUGCACCCAGUCCGUUCCCUCGUGGAGCGGAUGCAGUUAUUUGCCCAAAACCAAUCCGGCCUUCGGGUCGGUCAAUUGGUGACUCUGAAUAACCGAAGCGGAGCGCAUGGUCUCGUACCGGCGCCAGAUCUUUCAAGUGUCUGACUUAUCAGCUUGUUGUUAGGUUAUGUUCCUAACAAGGCAUCAACGGGUAACGGAGUGUCAGGGCCCGACACCGGAGAGGGAGCCUGAGAAACGGCUACCACAUCCAAGGAAGGCAGCAGGCGCGCAAAUUACCCACUCCCGGCACGGGGAGGUAGUGACGAAAAAUAACGAUGCGAGAGCUUUAUGCUCCUCGUAAUCGGAAUGGGUACACUUUAAAUCCUUUAACGAGGAUCUAUUGGAGGGCAAGUCUGGUGCCAGCAGCCGCGGUAAUUCCAGCUCCAAUAGCGUAUAUUAAAGUUGCUGCGGUUAAAAAGCUCGUAGUUGGAUCUGGGUAGUCGAUGGACGGUGCGCUUUACGGCGUCUACUGUUCGUUCGGCACCACAUGCCGGCCAUGUCUUGCAUGCUCUUCACUGAGUGUGCUUGGCGACCGGAACGUUUACUUUGAAAAAAUUAGAGUGCUCAAAGCAGGCGUUAAGCCUUGCAUAAUGGUGCAUGGAAUAAUAGAAUAGGACCUCGGUUCUAUUUUGUUGGUUUUCGGAGCUCGAGGUAAUGAUUAAUAGGAACAGACGGGGGCAUUCGUAUUGCGGCGUUAGAGGUGAAAUUCUG
rnacentral:rRNA from 1 species